AAUUGGAUGAUGAAUUUCUGGUAGUAGCAUCGCAAGUCCCAGUCAACUACAUGGGCGAAGCUGAAGCAUUGAAUGGAGAAACAACUAUGCCGGGAUUGAAUAACUUAAAUGAUUUGCUAGCCGCCCUGAACACAUGCGUCCGGUGGAUCGCAUGGAUAGGAGUAAUACUGGUGGUUGGUAGCGCAAGGGCAGGAGAUGCUGACGAUGAAGACCCCCCCCCCCCAUCAGCGGCCCUAUAUUGCCGGGUUGGCACGGUGUUCCAGAUGCACCGGGAGGGCCAGCAGCAAUGGGAGAGCAGCGUUCCAGGCAGCGCCAAAGAGCCCGUCCACAUGGAUUAGAUGUUCCUCCAACAUGUCGGCCUGGUCCUUCCUUCAAACAUGACAACGGAGAUUCGGAUGAUGGUGAACCUCGUAGACAUGGACUACAAGCUGUGAAUGAUGGGUCAGCCGCACGCUUACAUCAAGCAGUUAUCACGUAUCUUCAUGCCUGUGAUGCUGCCAAAAAUGGUAAAACAAACACAGUACCUGCAGACGUGAUCGAUACAGUAGAAAUGUGUGCAGCAGUGGAGCAAGUCGGUUAAGCUGCAGAUGUGGUGGUUGAGCAAAAUGGAACGAGAAAAAAGACGGCUCGUCCAUCUGUGCUAGAUGUGCAAACAUACUGCAAUCCUGGUCCUUAUUUCCGGCGUGACGAAGCAGAUGGCGCCGACGGUGAAGCUCGUGCACAUGGUUUUGCUUUAAACGGGACUGGCUCACUAACUAACUCCCAACAAGUUGUCCUCGCUUACCUGAAAAAAUGUGGGAUUAAGCACACUGUGACACACGGCAGCAAGAGACAAAAUGAAGCAGCAGGGACUGGUGUGGUAGGUGAGAAAACAUCUUCAAGGAGGGAUUGGGGGGAUAAGUACCCGCCGUCAAUUGGGUUGAACCAUUCCCAUCCCUCUCCUGAAGCAAUUUCAAGGUUCAAUGCUAACAUGACUGCCUGUGAGGGUGGAAUUUUAAAGAAGAAAUGGGUUAAGCACUUCCAUCCAAUUUUGGCGGUUGCAUCAGGACAAGACAUCAGAGAUGAGUUGAUGCCAGGGGGGAGGUGACCAUGAAUGUUUGGAGGUGUAUUCAACACAUGCUACGUGAAAAGGAUAAUGGAAUAUACGUCAAGUGGCUCGACAGGUUCAGGGGGCUGUUCGACCCACGCUUCGUUGAAGAGGUUUGCAGGGAUGACGGUGACACAGACUAGGAUUACAUAGAAACUAUGAUGAAUUCAGAAGUAAUUGGAUAUAGGAUUGAUUGGCUGAAGAAGUUCUGGUUCCCAGUUGAAUUUAUGGACUGCUGGGCAAUGUACCUUCUGGACAAGGAUGAAAAGACAGUGAUGGUGCUUGACCCAACUGAGACCGAUGUCAUGGAUGAGAUGAAAAUUAAACACGAGAGCCAUGCAAAGAAGUUCCAGCGAAGGUUCUGCUCUCUAUUCAACAACUAUUUCGGCAACGGGUUGGUUGAAACAGAGGGUUGGAAAUUCCUCUACCCAUUGGUGGCGCAGCAUGAACCGUGCAGCAGGGAAGACAGCGGAGUGUACAUCACACACUACUACACUGACUUCACCGGGUUGUACCUCCGUUCAACACAAAGCUAGGACCAGAUUGAUGGUUUGCGUGCAAAGCUAGCCUAUGAAAUUGUGACCAUGAAGGGGAACAAGGGAGACGUUCCAGAGUUCGCAUACGACAUGAUCAUAGAUUGAUGGCCUGAAGAUGAGCAUGCAAGCAGGUCCCUGGGGAGACCGACUCUAGGCUCCGCUUAUCUUUUGUUUAUCCUCGUGGUACUAAUAGUUGCGCAACUGAAGGACUAAGGUUUCAUUUUGGAUCGCUCGAAAAUCCACUAAGGCGAAACAUACUAGUUUUUAUCAGCGAUGUAACCCCUAAGUAUGACCUUAAGACCAAUAAGCUAGUGUCUGACAGCAGGGCGGACGACUGUUGUCAUGGGCAAGUGAAAACUUAUCACUAUCGCUUUAUGGCCGCUGUCAGUCGUUUUGCUUGUGGCGCGAUUAGUAAAUUUGAUAGGUCUUCACUAGUAUUUGAUUUUGAAAAUCGAAGCACGUGGAUCAGUUUUACAAA